CCGCCGCCACUCCUCUCCCACAUCGGGAUCUCCUCUCGAUCCAAAUCCAUCCCCUCCCAAAUCCCUCUCAUUUUCAACACCAGACCAACCCGAGCUCCUCCCUCGCUUGAACAUGCCGCCGCCAGCCACUCUUGCUCGAUCUCCACUACAGCCGGAGACCACGUCAUCGCCCAGGGAUGCCAAGCCAUGAAGCUCCAUCGUCACCGAGAGCAAGUUCCUCCUGCCCCAUGGAGCUACACUGCAGGACCUCCUCUACAUCAAACCCAAGUCAGGCGCCCAUGUCGACCAACCCUCGCUGAUCCGCUUCUGCUUCGGCCUGCGUCGGAUCCCGGUGUCCCCAGCUCGCCUGCUGCACCGCCAAGUCCGGUCGGCCUGCUCUUCGUCGUUUCCCGCUCCUCCUGUGCCCGCACCUGCAGAUCGCCGUCGAACCAGAUCCUCGCAGCCUCUCUGUUUCUUCAGACGAACAGGAGCUCCAGGAGUCCAUGGCGCCGCCCUUGCCUCGUUUCGCUCCAAGGUAUUCGAACGCCAAGUGCCUCUGCCCCGUCCUCGCCUCGCCGAAGAGGUUUCUCCUUCGCCAAGUCCAGCGCCGCGCCCUGCUUCCUCUGAAUCGAAGACGCAAGCAGCCAGCGCCCCUGAUCCUCGUGUUGACCGCGCCAUGUACCCGCUCCUUCCAUGUCCCUCCAGACAGAGCUCGAUCCAGCCGACUCGGGCUCGUCCCACCGCUGCGCAAGGCCCAGCUCCUCCCGAGCCGGCUCCUCUCCACUUCGCCAGGCCCAGCCGAUGGCCAAAUCCGGCUCCGUGCACCCCAGCCCAUCACCUCCGAUGGCCCAAGGCCCAGGGUGCCGAGGUUACCGUGCAGAUGACGCAACCAAGCUCAAGGAGGAGCUCGAUGAAGAUCUUAU